rnacentral:rRNA from 1 species
UGGCUCAGAUUGAACGCUGGCGGCAUGCCUUACACAUGCAAGUCGAACGGCAGCAUGAUCUAGCUUGCUAGAUUGAUGGCGAGUGGCGAACGGGUGAGUAAUACAUCGGAACGUGCCCUGUAGUGGGGGAUAACUAGUCGAAAGAUUAGCUAAUACCGCAUACGACCUGAGGGUGAAAGUGGGGGACCGCAAGGCCUCAUGCUAUAGGAGCGGCCGAUGUCUGAUUAGCUAGUUGGUGAGGUAAAGGCUCACCAAGGCGACGAUCAGUAGCUGGUCUGAGAGGACGAUCAGCCACACUGGGACUGAGACACGGCCCAGACUCCUACGGGAGGUAGCAGUGGGGAAUUUUGGACAAUGGGGGCAACCCUGAUCCAGCAAUGCCGCGUGUGUGAAGAAGGCCUUCGGGUUGUAAAGCACUUUUGUCCGGAAAGAAAUCGCACUUACUAAUAUUAGGUGUGGAUGACGGUACCGGAAGAAUAAGGACCGGCUAACUACGUGCCAGCAGCCGCGGUAAUACGUAGGGUCCAAGCGUAAUCGAUUACUGGCGAA